rnacentral:rRNA from 1 species
AUUGAACGCUGGCGGCAGGCCUAACACAUGCAAGUCGAGCGGAUGACGGGAGCUUGCUCCUUGAUUCAGCGGCGGACGGGUGAGUAAUGCCUAGGAAUCUGCCUGGUAGUGGGGGAUAACGUUUCGAAAGGAACGCUAAUACCGCAUACGUCCUACGGGAGAAAGCAGGGGACCUUCGGGCCUUGCGCUCUCAGAUGAGCCUAGGUCGGAUUAGCUAGUUGGUGGGGUAAUGGCUCACCAAGGCGACGAUCCGUAACUGGUCUGAGAGGAUGAUCAGUCACACUGGAACUGAGACACGGUCCAGACUCCUACGGGAGGCAGCAGUGGGGAAUAUUGGACAAUGGGCGAAAGCCUGAUCCAGCCAUGCCGCGUGUGUGAAGAAGGUCUUCGGAUUGUAAAGCACUUUAAGUUGGGAGGAAGGGCAGUAAGUUAAUACCUCGCUGUUUUGACGUUACCGACAGAAUAAGCACCGGCUAACUCUGUGCCAGCAGCCGCGGUAAUAC